GGAGGGUGCUAGCGUUGUUCGGAAUUACUGGGCGUAAAGCGCGUGUAGGCGGACUGAGUAGUCGGGUGUGAAAGCCCUCGGCUUAACCGAGGAAGUGCGCUCGAAACCAUCAGUCUGGAGGUCCGGAGGGGAUCGGGGAAUUCCCAGUGUAGAGGUGAAAUUCGUAGAUAUUGGGAGGAACACCGGUGAUGAAGAUGCCGAUCUGGACGGAUUCUGACGCUGAGACGCGAAAGCGUGGGGAGCAAACAGGAUUAGAUACCCUGGUAGUCCACGCCGUAAACGAUGGGUACUAGGUGCUGGAGGUAUUGACCCCCCUUCAGUGCCGACGCUAACGCAUUAAGUACCCCCGCCUGGGAAGUACGGCCGCAAGGUUG
rnacentral:rRNA from 1 species